UACGGAGGGUGCAAGCGUUAAUCGGAAUUACUGGGCGUAAAGCGUGCGCAGGCGGUUUGUUAAGUCUGUUGUGAAAUCCCCGAGCUCAACUUGGGAAUUGCAAUGGAUACUGGCAGGCUGGAGUAUGGUAGAGGAAGGUGGAAUUCCCGGUGUAGCAGUGAAAUGCGUAGAGAUCGGUAGGAACACCAGUGGCGAAGGCGGCCUUCUGGACCAAUACUGACGCUCAUGCACGAAAGCGUGGGGAGCAAACAGG
rnacentral:rRNA from 1 species